GAAAGUUCAAAAGGCCUAAUUCU
rnacentral:siRNA from 1 species